rnacentral:rRNA from 1 species
UACGUAGGGUGCGAGCGUUAAUCGGAAUUACUGGGCGUAAAGCGUGCGUAGGCGGUUCUCCAAGUCCGUUGUGAAAUCCCCGGGCUUAACCUGGGAAUGGCAGUGGAAACUAGGGGACUUGAAUUUGGCAGAGGGGGGUGGAAUUCCACGUGUAGCAGUGAAAUGCGUAGAGAUGCGGCGGAACACCGAUGGCGAAGGCAGCCCCCUGGGCUGAGAUUGACGCUCAGGCACGAAAGCGUGGGGAGCAAACAGG